UGGAGUUUUUAGCCUUUUAACAUUCAAGGAUUAGAGCUCCCUCUUUGCCCACUAGCAGGGCAUUAGCUGGUGCUGAAGACAGUGGCUGCUUGGCGAGCCUGGAUCUCCAAGUGACCCCCUCAGCAACUCCUGAUGAACAGGACUGAAGCCAAUAUUAAAGCAAGUCAACCAAAGGUUCUCUGGUGUAGACAAGACAGCAAAAGGACAGACUACCUUGUGGAACCUAGCAUUGUUCUCCUUCUGCAGCACUAAGUAACAUUUGUUCUCCGUUAAGAUCUUUGCAAACCACACACAAGAAUUGCUGGUCAUCCUGCCAAUAGAUGCUGCUCACAGAACCAAAUUUCCUGUGCUGAAUUGUCACUCAUGGGCUUGAGAGUAGGAGACUGGAGACCAAGGUGGCUAGAAUCCAGUUGGGCCUGAUGUCUCCCUGUUGAAAGGGCUCCUUGUGGAAUGAAUAGCACAUGGCUCCUGUGGUGGAUCUGAUAGUGGCAUAGCACCAAGUGAUGCAGGCCUGCCAGGGGCCACAGACACAGAAGAUGCUCCCGGGGUCCCCCAUGUACUCCAGACACACUGCAGGCCACCUCUCCCAGCAGGUUGCCAGUCAUGGGCCCCAUCAUCAUGACUUCUGUCCAAGGUACUGUGUGCAGAAAUGUGAUUGAGAUUCAAGUCAGGGCCUCUCUGCCCUUUUCCCUCCAGAAACAAAACCAAGAUAAUUUAUCCUGAACACGGUGAAAAAAGGAAGGGAGGGAGGAGAAAAAGUCCGGGUCUCACCUGGGAUUCUCUGUCUCCUGCAACAUGAAGGAUUUAGCCUGGGAGGAGGUGGUGAGAACUCUGGGAGAGAAAAAAGAAGGAAAGAAUAGUUUUACCCAUGCUGAAGUUAAUUUAAACCUUCACCUAGAGAAGCAAAAAAAAAAAACCCACACUUUCCCAUUUUGUGCCUCCCUUCCUAGAGUUUUAGCCAAAGGUUUAGCUAAGUAAUUGGUUUUACCAGCGCACUCACUCCUCCUAUCCCAAGUCUGUUUGACUCCCUCCCCAUCAUCCUCCUCACCUCUUUUCAGGCAGGGUGGGGAUAGCAGCAGGAGGAGAUUUUGGGAGCCUGGCAACUCCUGCAAGGACCGCAGGACAGCCCCUCUGUGGGGAUGCGUGGUGCCCCAUCUGCCGCCCUUCUGAAGAAUGCACUGCCUUCACUUUUUACUGUGUUAGAGUCCAUCCAGACUGUUCUAUCCAAAAAAGUUUCUUUUUCCCCCACAGGCAAUCAGGAAAUGAUUCCUUUCCCGACUGCUUCUGUCUAGUGCCUGGGAAUCUUGAGUCAAUCCCUCAGUAAGUCAGUGACUAGGGAAAUCCCUCUCUGAGCCUCCCAGUUCAUGUUGCUUAGGGAACCUGAUAUUUUCGUGAAACCUGCCUACACAUGGGCAGCCCAACAGCAGAACAAAUGGUGGUGACCAAAGUGAACAAAGAAGUAUAGUUGUGCCAGCUUCGUAGUUGCCCAUGUGGACAAGUCAGCAGGAUCAGGACACGAGGAAGAGUAAAUGUGAGACAGUCAAUGUGACUUCUGCGAUAAACAGAUUUUUAAACCCCGAAAUUUUGCAAAAUUUUGGUGAAACCUGAACUUUCUUCGUUGCAUAUACUGGCACUAUCUGUACCAUCAUACAACUGUCUCACAUUAAAGCUAUUUUUCUUGGGCACUGAUGAGUAAGGUUGGUAUAAGUUCCUCAGAUCAACAAAAACCCAUUUUCCUGUAAGUCUUACAUUUAGUAUUUAAGGAACUAAAACUUAAAUACAUUUUGUGAAAUGGUUGACACUUCACUGAUAAUGAUUUAUUGCUUGGAUUAAUAAAUUUUCCAAAAGUUGUCUUAUGUAGAAUAUGGUUUGCAACCAGCAGAACCAUUAAUCUAUACUGCAAUGAUAUGCACUAUGUAUAAUUGUUUAAAAGCCUCUACUUAAUGAUGUAAAAUGCUCUAUUUAAUUACACAUUUGGGUAAACUGUAUACUAACAUCUGAUGGCAUUUUUCCACUGUUUGUUGCUUUUUUCAAAUACUUUAUUGUACAAAGCUGUUCUUAAUAUUUUUCAAGUUUUUUUCUUUGAAUUUUGCUAAUGUUUUCCUUGAAUUAUGAGCACUGACAGAAUGUGCUUAGCACUUUUGGCUAUUCACACAGCUUUUGAGCAUGAUUUGCAUCCAAUAUUUACAUUGCUAGCAAUAAUAAGCCAUCUGUGAGUUUUGUCAAAAGUUAUUGGGGAUUUUUUAAAUUUUAGAAAUGCAAAUUAUUGUUUCUUUGAACUAACUCUUAUGCAGUUGCAAAGGCAUUUCCAGUUGUUAUAGUUUGUGUACAAUAUCAGGUGUUCCAGAUUAUGAUUCAUUAUUAAUAUCAUUGCUUCCUUGUUCCCUCUGAGGUCCAGAAGAUUCAUGUUUACAAUAUUUAGAAACAAUGUUAAAAAGGU
ensembl:lncRNA HCG18 HLA complex group 18